ACCCUUCAGAGGAGAAUAAAGCUGUCCAUCUAAAACAGCCCCUGUGUUUUCUGCAGGAAGCCAGCGCUAGAGAGCGGCAUCAGAUGACCCUGGUCACAGGGACACUGAAGACUUCAGGCUGUCUGUUCAGGGACUUUUCCUGCUAAGUAAAAGAUGUUCAGUGGAAAACAUUUCAGAAGCAAUCAAAGGAAGAGAAAGAAAAUCCCUCUCCUCCCACUGAUUAAAGUAAGUAGAGACCUUCACAGAAAACUACAACUGGAUACAAUGCAGAGAUCAAUGAAUCAUGGGGAGUUCAGACCCAAUAGAUGCAUCUACAUCAGACCUCCUGCAUCUGUGACUCAAGGAAUAUCUUGGAAAAGGGAGUGGAAGGACCCUUAAGAGCCAGAGUACCAGGACAUCUGCUGUGAAACAGUCUGUCCUAGAAAUGGCUGCACAAACAAGACCAGAACCAUGAAAACAUCAUUGGGUAGGUUGAGAUGGGAAGAGGAAAAUUUUAUAGGUUCCCCACUUCUAAAUAAAAAACUAUAAACAACUAACGAUUGCUGAAA